CGUGCAGUCGAACGAAGCCCAUCCUUCGGGGUGGUGACUGAGUGGCAAACGGCUGAGUAACGCGUAGGUGAUCUGUCCCGAGGAGGGGAACAACCCGUUGAAAAGCGAGCUAAUGCCCCAUAAGCCCAUCGGAUCGGACCGAUGGGGAAAUGUUCCGGCGCCUUGGGAGGAGCCUGCGUCCGAUUAGCUAGUUGGUGGGGUAACGGCCUACCAAGGCAGCGAUCGGUAGCUGGUCUGAGAGGAUGAUCAGCCAGACUGGGACUGAGAUACGGCCCAGACUCCUACGGGAGGCAGCAGCGAGGAAUCUUGCACAAUGGCGAAAGCCUGAUGCAGCAACGCCGCGUGGGUGAUGAAGGCCUUCGGGUUGUAAAUCCCUUUUGCCGGGGAAGAAAACUGACGGUACCCGGCGAAUAAGCCACGGCUAACUACGUGCCAGCAGCCGCGGUAAGACGUAGGUGGCGAGCGUUAUCCGGAUUUACUGGGCGUAAAGCGUACGUAGGCGGCUACAUAAGUCUGCUGUGAAAUCUCCCGGCUCAACCGGGAGCGGUCGGUGGAAACUGUGCAGCUCGAGGGGCGUAGAGGCAAGCGGAAUUCCCGGAGUAGUGGUGGAAUGCGUAGAUACCGGAGGAACACCAGUGGCGCAAGCGGCUUGCCAGGCGCAUCCUGACGCUGAGGUACGAAAGCGUGGGUAGCGAACCGGAUUAGAUACCCGGGUAGUCCACGCCGUAAACGAUGGAUGCUAGUCGUGGGGGGUAUCGACCCCCUCUGUGACGCAGCUAACGCAAUAAGCAUCCCGCCUGGGGAGUACGGCCGCAAGGCUAAAACUCAAAGGAAUUGACGGGGGCCCGCACAAGCAGCGGAGCGUGUG
rnacentral:rRNA from 1 species